GAGUUUGAUCAUGGCUCAGAGCGAACGCUGGCGGCAGGCCUAAUACAUGCAAGUCGAACGCACCUUCGGGUGAGUGGCGGACGGGUGAGUAACGCGUGGGAACGUGCCUUUGUACGGAACAACUGAGGGAAACUUCAGCUAAUACCGUAUGUGCCCCUUCGGGGGAAAGAUUUAUCGCCAUUGGAGCGGCCCGCGUUGGAUUAGCUAGUUGGUGGGGUAAAUGGCCCACCAAGGCGACGAUCCAUAGCUGGUCUGAGAGGAUGAUCAGCCACACUGGGACUGAGACACGGCCCAGACUCCUACGGGAGGCAGCAGUAGGGAAUCUUGCGCAAUGGGCGAAAGCCUGACGCAGCCAUGCCGCGUGAAUGAUGAAGGUCUUAGGAUUGUAAAAUUCUUUUCACCGGGGAAGAUAAUGACGGUACCCGGAGAAGAAGCCCCGGCUAACUUCGUGCCA
rnacentral:rRNA from 1 species